AGAGUUUGAUCAUGGCUCAGGACGAACGCUGGCGGCGUGCUUAACACAUGCAAGUCGAGCGGAAAGGCCUCUUUGGGGGUACUCGAGCGGCGAACGGGUGAGUAACACGUGAGUAACCUGCCCUGGACUUUGGGAUAACCCUCGGAAACGGGGGCUAAUACCGGAUAUGACGGCUGGCCGCAUGGUCUGGUUGUGGAAAGAUUUUUUGGUCUGGGAUGGGCUCGCGGCCUAUCAGCUUGUUGGUGGGGUGAUGGCCUACCAAGGCGACGACGGGUAGCCGGCCUGAGAGGGCGACCGGCCACACUGGGACUGAGACACGGCCCAGACUCCUACGGGAGGCAGCAGUGGGGAAUAUUGCACAAUGGGCGGAAGCCUGAUGCAGCGACGCCGCGUGAGGGAUGACGGCCUUCGGGUUGUAAACCUCUUUCAGCUCCGACGAAGCGUGAGUGACGGUAGGAGCAGAAGAAGCGCCGGCCAACUACGUGCCAGCAGCCGCGGUA
rnacentral:rRNA from 1 species